rnacentral:rRNA from 1 species
UGGGGAAUUUUGGACAAUGGGCGCAAGCCUGAUCCAGCCAUGCCGCGUGCGGGAAGAAGGCCUUCGGGUUGUAAACCGCUUUUGUCAGGGAAGAAAUCUUCUGAGUUAAUACCUCGGGAGGAUGACGGUACCUGAAGAAUAAGCACCGGCUAACUACGUGCCAGCAGCCGCGGUAAUACGUAGGGUGCAAGCGUUAAUCGGAAUUACUGGGCGUAAAGCGUGCGCAGGCGGUUUUGUAAGACAGAGGUGAAAUCCCCGGGCUCAACCUGGGAACUGCCUUUGUGACUGCAAGGCUUGAGUGCGGCAGAGGGGGAUGGAAUUCCGCGUGUAGCAGUGAAAUGCGUAGAUAUGCGGAGGAACACCGAUGGCGAAGGCAAUCCCCUGGGCCUGCACUGACGCUCAUGCACGAAAGCGUGGGGAGCAAACAGGAUUAGAUACCCCUGGUAGUCCACGCCCUAAACGAUGUCAACUGGUUGUUGGGAAGGUUCCUUCUCAGUAACGUAGCUAACGCGUGAAGUUGACCGCCUGGGGAGUACGGCCGCAAGGUUGAAACUUAAAUGAAUUGACGGGG